GUCUAUGGCCAUACCACCCUGAACAUGCCCAAUCUCAUCUGGUCUGGGAAGCUAAGCAGGGUCGGGCCUGGUUAGUGCUUGGAAGGGAGAAAAAAGAACCUAUAUGCU
rnacentral:rRNA from 1 species